CCGUAGGUGAACCUGCGGAAGGAUCAUUAA
rnacentral:ncRNA from 5 species